GCAAUGUUGGGCUACGGGUCAGACAAUCGACCCAAACGUUCUAACGGCGUUGGGCAACGGCUCCGUUAACGGCAUCUCGAGAGGAGGAGAGAGGGAUCGGGGAUGACGGCGGGGGCGUCGUCGACGGGAGGGAUGCACGCGUACGGGCAGCCGGCGUACUGGGACCAACGAUAUCGCCGGGACCAACGAUAUCGCCAGGACCCGGGGCCCUUCGACUGAUACUAGAAGUACAAAACCCUAGGCCCGCUCCACGACCUCUAUCUCCGCCGCUCCCACCGCCUCCUCCUUGUCGGCUGCGGCAACUCUGCACUUGGACAAAGCAUGGUCGCUGAUGGUUACUAGGAUGUUGUCAACAUAGACAUAUCUUCUGUAGUAUUUGAAGCUAUGCAAAAGGAAGUAUCAGGAUAAACCACAGCUCCAGUGUAUCCUACAAAUAAUAAUUAUUAUAAAGUUGUUUAUCCAUGAUCUCUUUUAGCCUUACCAUAUCUUUCUUUCUUUCUUUCUUUUCUUUUUUUUUUUUUUUGGGUCGUGGGGGGAGGUUGUUGAAGUGGAGAGUUAAAGGAAAGUUUAAUGGUUUGAUGAAACUUUAUGCUUUAUUUGUUUCUUUCUGACCAUUUUGAUAAAUAUCAAAAUGGAUGUUAGAGAUAUGAAUGCUUUUGAAGAUGGUUCCUUUGAUGCCAUUAUUGAUAAAGGUUUCUUUUUUUUUUCAAAAAUAAUCUCCUCAUGGUUAAGUUUACAUCAUGUUAGAAAUUCUAGUGUUCGUUGCCUCUCUUGGUCAUUAUUUAUCAGUUUGUUUGCUGAACAAACUAUAUAUUUUUUCUGAAAUCUAUCACAUUUUUAUUUAUGGUUAUAUUUUUAUGCAGGAACCCUUGACUCUCUCUUGGUGAGUGCCUUGCAUCUUAAAUACUUUCUCUUGUUAUAAUAUGAGAGUCCAGCACAUGCAAUGUCUGUGCUUUGUUCUAAUGAUUUGAAAAUUGGUCGGCCCCAUCUAUUAAAGAAAGAGAGAGAGAGAUAAUUGGGCAUAAGUGAUUUUUUUUCAUUUCUUCAUUUCUUUGGGCCAGUGGUCCAACAUGAAGGGCCUCAGAUUCCAGCAUGCUUCCUGGAAUCAGAACUUUUUCCAUUAUAUAGAGAGAAGAGGCUGAUAUUAGAAUUUGUUGAUGUGUAGUGUGGGCACAAUGCACCACACAAUGCAACUAAAAUGCCGGAGGAGGUUGGUAGGUAAUAAUAAUGCCUGAUCUUAUAGACUUUUUUUAGCAUUUAUUUUCCUUCAAUUUAGCUUAUCAACUUAAAUUGAGGUUGUCUAAUUAAAUCUCUAUCAGGGUUAGAGUUAAUUCUGGGACUGACCUUAGUUAGAGUUAAUCCUGGGACACAUUGUCAUGUAGGUAAAGUUGAUGACCUUUUGAUAGAUCAUCAAGAUAUAUUGUCCCUCGCGGCCAGCUAAUGUCAGGCUCCUGCAAUAGGAUAUUGUAAGGUUGUCUAUUUUUAUGAAGGAACAACCAUCAGAAAUUAGGAGUUUGGGUCUGCAAUUUUCUGAUGUUUCAUCCAAAUAGAAGUCAGAGAAGAGGGUUAGGGUGCCAGAGACUGUCCUAGAGAAGGGUGGAGAGGUCUGAAUUUUAGUGCUAGGCAUAUGUAAUACAUAUUUCUUUUUUCAUGCAAUUAACAUGGAGAUGGUGGGUUGAAGGUUAAUCUGAAGCCCUGGGGUUGCUUUGACACUUGAAAGAUGGAUAGAAAUGGAUAAGAUGGGAGCAUUAGGAAUUGGAUUGAUUAUUUUGGGAUGCGUAAGUGGCGGGCAUCUCUAUUACCCUAUUACCUAGUUAAUGUAGUGAGAAAUAAAGAUGAAGCUAAUCUUGGUCUAUGGACCCAUCAAAUAGAAAAGUUAGAGAGCUUAAUUAGGUGAAGCAGGGGUUGGAUCUAUAGUGUGUAGGAGGAGACUCCAUUCUCACCAGGUUAUCUUUCUGGCGGAGAAGGGUAUUUUGUUAAAUACUUGUGGCCUGUCAGAUAUUCCACCGAGAAUAUUUUUUCUUAAUAUUUUGAGUUGCAAAGGGAGCCAAAUCAUUCACCUUUGAUGCAUUAGCAAAUCAAUCAUCAUGGUCUUGCUUGAUGUUCAAAUUUGAUUUCAUGAUCAGAUCUUGCAGAGUCUUGAAGUGAUAUGAUGUGUCACCAGAUUUUGCUUGAUAUUUAUAUCUAAUUUGUGUGCAUGUCUAAGAGAGAAUAAAGAAAGUAUAGUUUCUUCAACUUCAGCUUUUGUUAGGACUCUUGCAUUAGAUCAUGUCCAUGUUCUUAUAAUAUGAAUCUUUAGUUGAUUUAAUGAAGGCAGGUAGAAGGGAAAAGUGGAGAAGAUUUUCUUCUGCAUGAGUUUUAAUGAAUUACAGCAGCUUAUAUACCUUACAGAACCCUAAAACUAGCCUGCUGAAGCCUCUCUCCAAGGAUAAAUUAUUGCAUGGACCAUGUCCAAGUGGACCAGGGCAAAUCUUAGAGCAUAUGCAUGGUGGAGAACACGCAAUCGGGAAUUGGUGAAAUACGAGGGGUAAUGUGGCAUGUUAUCCACCAUCGGAUUUGGCGUGGUCCAUUGGACCUAGUCCAAGUAAUAAAUGGACCUCUUCAAGUAUGUAAUACAUGAGCCUUCCCUAAACUUCUUGCCUUAGAAAAGGAGAAGAAAAGAGGUAUGUGGUGCUAAUGGGAAAUGCCAGAUUUCAUGGUAAAACUGAAAUUUGAAGACAAGCUCAACUGCUCAAGCGUUCUGCAGUUUUGAAAGCACAAAACAUGCAUAGAUAGACAAUUCUUUGGAGACAUAUGUAAAGGCACAAAAAUAUGUUUAGGAAACACGGUUACGAAUUAUGUUAUGUUAAAAAUUUGCCUUGGAUGUUGAAAUGCGAAGUUUCAUGUAAAACAUUAUGCACAAUAGGCCUCCCAUAUGUGCGUGUUGUUGCUUUUAUACAUCAUGGAAACAUCCUCUUCCAUGGAAACACGUUUGUUCCAUCAAGGCUUCAAAUUUAAAAUGAGAAGGUGGCAUAAAAAUAACAUUAUAAGAAAAUUAGAAAAACAAACAUCUGCAUUGUGGAGCUACAUUAAAUGGUAUUGUAUUGAUACACCCUCCAAUAACUAUCCUGUAUCAAAUCAUUUCACAGGGAAAGUUCUGACAUUGUAAACCACAAAAGGACUCAAAUCCUGUUAAAAUAUGCUUUCUUUUCUCAAAGAUUUAUGACUUGGGCAUGACAUAUGAUCUGUAAUUAUAACAUGCUAUAAUAUCAUUAUGACUUGUUUCAACUUUUGGCAAACUAAUUAUUUUAUGUUUGAGUUUAUAAGAAAAAUUUUUCUGGGGAUAAGAUAAUCAAUGUCUGUCUGUAGAAAAAUGAUCUGUUACAUGGAGUAUCAAUAGGGCUGCUAAAGGGUUAUGUGGAUUAAAAGACAUGAAAGUCAUCGCCUUUAAGAUAAGAUCAACUGAAGUUCUUCACGAUAUCUAGAAACUCUAUAUAUCUAGGACUGGCAAGAAAUGAAUGAUGUGGAGAUAUGAUUCUGGAUGAUGAGAUGUGAUCAUUAGAGAGAAAAAUGGGGCUACAUAUGCAAAUGGUGCAUGAGUAGUGUCAAAUUGCCGAGAUUCUUAAGCAGAUUUUUGUUUUCCUCCUGUCAUCAACAGUUGUGUUUUUAAGGGUGGCAGCUUUCCCAUGUUUAGUGAUUUUGACGAUUUUGCUAGGACUCACGAUUUAUUUUGCACUCUGUGCUCAUAGUUGAUGCAUAUGAUGGCAUAUUUUCGGUAUUUUGAUUUAGAACCUACAAUGGGUUUCUAGCAAGAAUGUGGAUGUUUUAUUCAUUCAGGAAUUCACUUUGACAUGCUCUGAGGUAUUUGUUGUUGGGGAUAGGAUUGGAACAAGUGAACUUGUAGGUAUUGAUGCCAUAUUAAACAUUGGCAUGUGUAGAUAGAUCAUUCUUUGGAAAUAUACAUGAAGGCACAAAGAUAUUGUUAGUAAAUGCAAAUAAAUAUUAAAAUCUUUGGGAUAAAGAUAUGUCCUGAAGACUGAAGACGAAGAUUGGCUUUACACAUUAUCCAUUGUAUAUAUGAAUGUUCUAUAUAUGCAUCUGUAUAGAACAUAUAUAUGUGCAUGUUCUACACUCUUAUAUGUCCUAUAUAUGCAUGUUCUUUAUUCCUCAUAUAGGAAGUCCUCAGGUUGGUGUAAACAAAGAAAGGAAAAAAAGGGGAAAUGGGAAGGCUCCAAAGUCUACACUCCUGCUGGACUUUGGGCGCCAUUGGGCUAUGGGUGAAGUAGAAAUGUGGAGUUGCUUGGGAGAUCAUCACUGCUAGAGUCUGGCUACAAAAGGGUAGCUGCAUUACAAAGAAAAGUUCAGUCACAGAAACUUUCUGCCAUUAAAAUAGUAGAUAUGCUACUAAAAUCAUUUUAAGAUGUCAUUAUGGUUCAUUCUCAACUUUUGGCAAACCAAUUAUUUUAACUUUGAGUUUAAAAUGGAAAUUUCUGUCAGGACAAGAUGUUCGAUGUCUCUCUGCGGUCAAAUGCUUGUACACCAAGUACCAAGAGAGUUACCAAAGGGUUGUGGAUUAAAAGAGACUAAAGCCACAAUGUUUAAAAUAAGAAUAACUAAAGAAGCUCUUCACAAUCUCAAGAAACUCAGGCCAGCUUACAUUGACAAGGUUUGAGUGGAGGCAUGGGAUGAUGGUUAUGGAGGAUGGGAUGUGUUUGUUGGAGGAAAUAUGGGCUGAAAUACAUUACUGGUCUAGAAGUGGUAUCGAAUCACCUAGAGAUUUUUAAGUAGAAAUUUGGUUGGAGAUGGUGAUUCCAAUUUUGCUAAGAAUGUUGAGAUAAACAAGGGAUUGUUCACUGUAAACUAUCGAGGAUAUCGAGUUAUUUACUUGUAGUAGAUGUGCAUGUUGACAUCUAUUUGAUGUUUGGAUCCAGUCUGUACUCUGGGCUUCAUCCAGUGAGAGCUUGGAAAAUUUUAUGCAUUUGGUAGAUCACCAUUGACAUAUCCCAAGGUAUUUAUUGUUGGGAAUGCGAUUGCAAAGAAUAAACUGCAGACUAGGUCUCCCCACAUAUCAAUGAGGUGGUUGUUCUCUUACAAUCAAAUUUUGAGUCCAUGGCUGGAAGCCUGGAAGAAAUAAAAUAUUUCUUUUUUCCUUAAAUACUUGAUUUGAUAUGUUGCACGCUCAUUUCUGAAAAAAAAAAGAUAUUUUGCAACUCAAUUGUUCGGCGUUUGCUUUACAUUUUCAUUUUCAAGUUCUUCUGUCCUUCGCUCUGAUCCCUGGCUAGAGACAGAAGCUGUGUAUAAAACAUAUCAUCAGCACAAAGGCCUUAUACUCAGUUAUCUGGAUUUAGUCUUAUUCUGUUUCAGAAGCUUCCUGUUUUGGGAACGAGCCUUCUUGAUGAAAGAUAUGGCAGAAUGUUCUGAGUUAUAUGUGGCUUCCUAAUUCAGAUUUCCUUGGACUCUGUCAGUUCCUUUUUUUCAGUUACCGUUCGUACUAAAUUUAUGAAGUUAUGUCCUGCUUCCAGCAUUAACUUUCAGGGUUUUAUGUAUACCACAGGUGAAACAUGGAUGUUUGACUCAAUGAUUUCAACUAUUGUUUGCUGUUACUGACAGGAUGGAGAAGGGUUCAGAACAGAAUACAUGGAACUAACUUACCCUUUGCCUUUAAAUGAGGAUUGUAGCUCUGUUGCCGUCAUUCCUGGUACAAACCCUGAAGUACAUUACAUUUUUGUCUGUGUAAAGGUCAGCAACCUGUUCAAAAUAAUAUGCAUAUAAUUCUCAUUGUUCUAAACUCACUUGUUCUCUUGACCUGAUCCAUGAUGCUCUGCAUGUACAUGGUUGUGCAUCCUGUUUCAGGAUAAAUCCCUAAGAUAGAAUCUAAAUGAAGAGGUUGAACAUUAGCUCUAGGGUUAUUGCCAAAGAUUCCAAAUGAUUUUUAUAUAUCCAUGUUGCAAGUCUGUGUUCUUGUAAAGGAAUAAAAUAUGCUGUAAUCUAGAUUUGUAUUCAUUUGUGAAAAAUUGACCAAGGCUCCAAUUCUGGUGAGGAAUUGAGGGCUGAUUAUUUCUCACUAAUUCUGUUGAAAAUGUA